rnacentral:rRNA from 1 species
GAUGAACGCUGGCGGCGUGCCUAAUACAUGCCAGUCGAGCGAACAGACGAGGAGCUUGCUCCUCUGACGUUAGCGGCGGACGGGUGAGUAACACGUGGAUAACCUACCUAUAAGACUGGGAUAACUUCGGGAAACCGGAGCUAAUACCGGAUAAUAUAUUGAACCGCAUGGUUCAAUAGUGAAAGACGGUUUUGCUGUCACUUAUAGAUGGAUCCGCGCCGCAUUAGCUAGUUGGUAAGGUAACGGCUUACCAAGGCAACGAUGCGUAGCCGACCUGAGAGGGUGAUCGGCCACACUGGAACUGAGACACGGUCCAGACUCCAACGGGAGGCAGCAGUAGGGAAUCUUCCGCAAUGGGCGAAAGCCUGACGGAGCAACGCCGCGUGAGUGAUGAAGGUCUUCGGAUCGUAAAACUCUGUUAUUAGGGAAGAACAAAUGUGUAAGUAACUAUGCACGUCUUGACGGUACCUAAUCAGAAAGCCACGGCUAACUACGUG